GCUCUCACACACCCACUAGAGAAUAAGAGUUACUCCUCUGUGAGGACCGAAGCGUUGUCUGUUGUGGAACUACUGGUGAAGAGGACAGGAGAGAGCGGUCAGUGGGAGUGUGUCUCAGGAAAGAGUCGCGAACAGCUGCAACGUUCACUAUCCACCCUGCAGACAGACAGCAGACCUGACCUACGAGACAAGGCCCAGGAACUACGGAGGAACAUCCAGAGUCAACCCUGAACAC